rnacentral:rRNA from 1 species
UGCCCUGCAAAACGGGGAGGAAGGUGGGGAUGACGUCAAGUCAGCAUGGCCCUUAUGCCUUGGGCUACACACACGCUACAAUGGGUGGCACAAUGGGUGGCAAUAGAGCGAUCUGGAGCUAAUCCUUAAAGCCAUCCUCAGUUCGGAUUGCAGGCUGAAAUUCGCCUGCAUGAAGCUGGAGUUGCUAGUAACCGCAUAUCAGAAUGGUGCGGUGAAUACGUUCUCGGGCCUUGUACACACCGCCCGUCACGUCAUGAAAGUUGGCAACACCUGAAAUCGAUGGGCUAACCCCGACUUGUCGGGGAGGCAGUCGCCUAGGGUGGGGCUGAUGAUUGGGACGAAGUCGUAACAAGGUAGCUGUAGCGGAAGCUGCGGCUGGAUCACCUCCUUUCUAAGGAG